GUAAAAGCGAUGAUGAAAAAAGAGUAGUAAAGUAGCGUUUUAUAGAGAGCUGACGGUUGGUGGAAGUCGGUAAACGUACUUUAUGAAUGGACUUUCUAGCUGCACAGAGGAAAUGCUGUGCCGUAGCGCUCACGUUACGAGUUUUGAGUGGACUAAUUAAUUUAGUCAAUAAAGGUGGCACCACGGCUCUUUCGUCCUUUAA
rnacentral:ncRNA from 1 species